CGGCGGACGGGUGAGUAACACGUGGAUAACCUACCUAUAAGACUGGGAUAACUUCGGGAAACCGGAGCUAAUACCGGAUAAUAUAUUGAACCGCAUGGUUCAAUAGUGAAAGACGGUUUUGCUGUCACUUAUAGAUGGAUCCGCGCCGCAUUAGCUAGUUGGUAGGUAACGGCUUACCAAGGCAACGAUGCGUAGCCGACCUGAGAGGGUGACCGGCCACAUUGGGACUGAGAUACGGCCCAG
rnacentral:rRNA from 1 species